GAUGAACGCUGGCGGCGUGCCUAAUACAUGCCAGUCGAGCGAACGGACGAGAAGCUUGCUUCUCUGAUGUUAGCGGCUGACGGGUGAGUAACACGUGGAUAACCUACCUAUAAGACUUGGAUAACUUCGGGAAACCGGAGCUAAUACCGGAUGAUAUUUUGAACCGCAUGGUUCAAAAGUGAAAGACGGUCUUGCUGUCACUUAUAGAUGGAUCCGCGCUGCAUUAGCUAGUUGGUAAGGUAACGGCUUACCAAGGCAACGAUGCAUAGCCGACCUGGGAGGGUGAUCGGCCACACUGGAGCUGAGACACGGUCCAGACUCCUACGAGAGGCAGCAGUAGGGAAUCUUCCGCAAUGGGCGAAAGAAUGACGGAGCAACGCCGCGUGAGUGAUGAAGGUCUUCGGAUCGUAAAACUCUGUUAUUAGGGAAGAACAGAUGUGUAAGUAACUGUGCACAUCUUGACGGUACCUAAUCAGAAAGCCACGGCUAACUACGUG
rnacentral:rRNA from 1 species